CCUACGGGAGGCAGCAGUGAGGAAUAUUGGUCAAUGGGCGCGAGCCUGAACCAGCCAAGUAGCGUGAAGGAUGACUGCCCUACGGGUUGUAAACUUCUUUUAUAAAGGAAUAAAGUGAGGCACGUGUGCCUUUUUGCAUGUACUUUAUGAAUAAGGAUCGGCUAACUCCGUGCCAGCAGCCGCGGUAAUACGGAGGAUCCGAGCGUUAUCCGGAUUUAUUGGGUUUAAAGGGUGCGUAGGCGGAGCGUUAAGUCAGUGGUAAAAUUGAGGGGCUCAACCCCUUCCCGCCAUUGAAACUGGCGCUCUUGAGUGGAAGAGAAGUAUGCGGAAUGCGUGGUGUAGCGGUGAAAUGCAUAGAUAUCACGCAGAACCCCGAUUGCGAAGGCAGCAUGCCGGCUUCCGACUGACGCUGAAGCACGAAAGCGUGGGGAUCGAACAGGAUUAGAUACCCGGGUAGUC
rnacentral:rRNA from 1 species